rnacentral:rRNA from 1 species
UGAACGCUGGCGGCGUGCCUAACACAUGCAAGUCGAACGAAGCACCUUACCUGAUUCUUCGGAUGAAAGUUUGGUGACUGAGUGGCGGACGGGUGAGUAACGCGUGGGUAACCUGCCCUGUACAGGGGGAUAACAGCUGGAAACGGCUGCUAAUACCGCAUAAGCGCACGAGGAGACAUCUCCUUGUGUGAAAAACUCCGGUGGUACAGGAUGGGCCCGCGUCUGAUUAGCUGGUUGGCAGGGUAACGGCCUACCAAGGCAACGAUCAGUAGCCGGUCUGAGAGGAUGAACGGCCACAUUGGAACUGAGACACGGUCCAAACUCCUACGGGAGGCAGCAGUGGGGAAUAUUGCACAAUGGGGGAAACCCUGAUGCAGCAACGCCGCGUGAGUGAAGAAGUAUUUCGGUAUGUAAAGCUCUAUCAGCAGGGAAGAUAAUGACGGUACCUGACUAAGAAGCGCCGGCUAAAUACGUG